rnacentral:rRNA from 1 species
UACGUAGGGGGCUAGCGUUGUCCGGAUUUAUUGGGCGUAAAGAGCGUGUAGGCGGCCAGGUAGGUCUGGUGUGAAAACUCGAGGCUUAACCUCGAGAUGUCAUCGGAAACCAUCUGGCUAGAGUCCGGAAGAGGAGAGUGGAAUUCCUGGUGUAGCGGUGAAAUGCGCAGAUAUCAGGAAGAACACCUAUAGCGAAGGCAGCUUGCUGGGACGUUACUGACGCUAAGGCGCGAAAGCGUGGGGAGCGAACAGG